rnacentral:rRNA from 1 species
UACGGAGGGAGCUAGCGUUGUUCGGAAUUACUGGGCGUAAAGCGCGCGUAGGCGGUUUUUCAAGUCAGAGGUGAAAGCCCGGGGCUCAACCCCGGAAUAGCCUUUGAAACUGGAAAACUUGAAUCUUGGAGAGGUCAGUGGAAUUCCGAGUGUAGAGGUGAAAUUCGUAGAUAUUCGGAAGAACACCAGUGGCGAAGGCGACUGACUGGACAAGUAUUGACGCUGAGGUGCGAAAGCGUGGGGAGCAAACAGG